AGUGAACGCUGGCGGUAGGCCUAACACAUGCAAGUCGAACGGCAGCACAGUAAGAGCUUGCUCUUACGGGUGGCGAGUGGCGGACGGGUGAGGAAUACAUCGGAAUCUACUUUUUCGUGGGGGAUAACGUAGGGAAACUUACGCUAAUACCGCAUACGACCUACGGGUGAAAGCAGGGGAUCUUCUGACCUUGCGCGAUUGAAUGAGCCGAUGUCGGAUUAGCUAGUUGGCGGGGUAAAGGCCCACCAAGGCGACGAUCCGUAGCUGGUCUGAGAGGAUGAUCAGCCACACUGGAAGUGAGACACGGUCCAGACUCCUACGGGAGGCAGCAGUGGGGAAUAUUGGACAAUGGGCGCAAGCCUGAUCCAGACAUACCGCGUGGGUGAAGAAGGCCUUCGGGUUGUAAAGCACUUUUGUUGGGAAAGAAAAGCAGCAGGUUAAUACCCCGCUGUUCUGACGGUACACAAAGAAUAAGCACCGGCUAACUUCGUG
rnacentral:rRNA from 1 species